rnacentral:rRNA from 1 species
UGAGGAACAUGACCUUCGGCGGGGGAUAGCCGGCCCAACGGCCGGGUAAUACCGCGUACGACCUUUCGGGGACAUCCCCGGAUGGUGAAAGCAGCAAUGCGCCGAUGGAGUGCCUCGCGGCCUAUCAGCUAGUUGGGUGGGGUAACGGCCUACCAAGGCAACGACGGGUAGCUGGUCUGAGAGGAUGGCCAGCCACAGUUGGGACUGAGACACGGCCCAGACUCCGUACGGGAGGCAG